GCAGAGUGAAUGUUUAAUUCAUUUAGAAAGUGUUAUAAAAUCACCAAUGUGUUAACAAAAUAUAUUCUGCAGUAAGUUAUUACAUUGAUAGAAUAUUACAUUAUUACAUAAAAAUGGAAAACUUUUAAAUUACUAUAGUCAUUUUAGAUUUGUAUGUUACUUAAAGUGUACAGUCCAAGUGCAUGUUACUGACUCUUGUGUAUUUUAUGAUAAUUAUUUACAAAUAAAACUUAAAAGAAACAGAUAAACCUGCACAUGUUCACACUCAAAGAUUUC
rnacentral:lncRNA from 1 species